UACAGAGGGUGCGAGCGUUAAUCGGAAUUACUGGGCGUAAAGCGUGCGUAGACGGCUAUCUAAGUCGGGUGUGAAAGCCCCGGGCUCAACCUGGGAACUGCAUUUGUGACUGCACAGCUGGAGUGCGGCAGAGGGGGAUGGAAUUCCGCGUGUAGCAGUGAAAUGCGUAGAUAUGCGGAGGAACACCGAUGGCGAAGGCAAUCCCCUGGGCCUGCACUGACGCUCAUGCACGAAAGCGUGGGGAGCAAACAGG
rnacentral:rRNA from 1 species